UGGAAAUGGAAAUUUUCGAUCAAAUCGGACAUGCAAAACUUCGGAUGCGUGGAUUCCGGCGAAAUUGCAGGCAAGUUCGACUCAAAUCCCAUUUUCUAUUCGGUCUUUUCUUCGUAAUAACUGAAACGCUUGGACCCUUUUGGUAGUCGUAGCAAUGUUCCUUCGCAUUUGUAGAACCUUAGUUCCUCGAUACCGCCAGGAGCCAUCGAACGUGUGUGGACUCGAGUCAAUUUGCUCAAUUUCAAUCCUGUUUUUCCAUUCUACCCGAAAGUCGAAACCGAACGUUGCUUUGUCGGAAUACUUGAUCAAUCAACAUGGGUUUUCUCCGGAAGUGGCUCGGAAAGCUUCGUCCUUGAAAAUUUUUCUGACUAAGCCAGAGCGUACGGACUCUGUGCUUUCUUACCUCAAAGAAACUGGAUUUUCGAAAACGCAGAUCGAAAGAAUCGUCUAUAGAUAUCCGAGGGUUUUGUUUUCGGAUAUCGAAAAUUUGGUUAAGCCGAAGAUUAAGGUUUUCCAAGAAUUGGGUUUUCCUCGUAGCGAUUUUGUGAGCGUCAUAUCGGCUGAUCCAUGGAUAUUGGGAAGAAGCUCUGAUAAUCAGAUUCUUCCCUCCCUAACUGUGCUUAAGAAUGUUUUAGGAUCGCUUCCCCUUGUUUCUAAGGUGGUGAAGAUGUGUGGAAACUUGUUGAAAUAUGACCUAGAGAAAACUCUGGUUCCAAAUAUUGAGUUAUUGAAAAAUUGUGCGGUCGAUUAUGAGCAGAUUGUCAACUAUGUCCUCAAUUUCCCGCGGUUUUUCCUAUUUAGUCCCGAAAACAUCAAGGGAUUCAUCAAAAGGGUUGAUGAGAUGGGGUUUGAUAAGUCUUCUAGAAUGUAUAUUGUGGCGAUUGUGGUAAUGAGUUCAAUGACUGAAAAGAAAUGGGAGUUGAAGCUGAAGGUUUUUAAGGAUCUGGGGUUCACCGAUGAGGAUAUCAGGUCCGCCUUUAGGAAGAUGCCACAGUCUUUCGCUCUUUCGGAGAAUAAAAUCAGAGAAGUGGCUGAUAUUUUGCUUGGCCUGGAUGAUGUUGAUGUUCCUUACAUAGUAAAUCAUAUAGAGUUGCUACUCGGCAGCGUUGAGAAGAGGCUGAAGCCUCGGUUAGAAGUUUUGGCGGUUCUAGAAAGCAAACAUUUGUUGAAGAAGAAACAUGCUUUGUGCACAGUACUCAAGGCCUCGAAUGACGCAUUCUUGAAGAGGUACGUGGAUCCAUAUUUGGCUGAGCUUGCGGAUACUUCUUUGGUCAAAAACAGCUUCUGCGAUGUGAAAGGAGUGGCCAACUCGAUCAAAUCAACACCAUGAGCCGAACCAAACUAGAGGCUGAUCCUUCUUUCCUCUGCUUCAAGUUUUGAAGGAAAGGAAAAACAUUUCCUCAUUAAACCCUUGGACCAAGCAUUCAACUUCAUACCCAAGACUGGAUAUCUCAACUGGUCAAGCAACACUCCAUGAGAACUUCUUCUCGACCAAGAUUGAGAGCAAAGGUUCAAACUUUCUGUAGAGGAAAAGACUGCCCCAUCGCCAUUUUCUGCCGGAAUCAAAAGAACUGCAAAAGCUCGUUUCCAGGGUUACAUCAAGAGUGUUGAUUCAAGAGGACGGAGAUUUGGUUGCCGACAUCAAGAAUUGUACGGAGAGGAAGAAACUGAAGAAGAAUGUGUGAUUUGUUUGUGAUUGCCAGAGUGGUGUUGGCCUGCCCCUACAUAUAUCACACUAACAUCAAUUUUCAAAGUCCUUUUCCUU